GAUGAACGCUGGCGGCGUGCCUAAUACAUGCAAGUCGAGCGAAGCGGGGACGGGUGAGUAACACGUGGAUAACCUCCUAUAAGCCUGGGAUAACUUUGGGAAACCGGAGCUAAACCGGAUACUUAUAGUUGAAUCCGCGCUGCAUUACCUAGUUGGUAAGUUAACGGCUUACCAAGGCAACGAGCCAUAGCCGACCUGACAGGGUGAUCGGCCACACUGGACCUGAGACACGGUCCAGACUCCUACGGGAGGCAGCAGUAGGGAAUCUUCCGCAAUGGGCGAAAGCCUGACGGAGCAACGCCGCGUGAGUGAUGAAGGUCUUCGGAUCGUAAAACUCUGUUAUUAGGGAAGCGGUACCUAAUCAGAAAGCAACGGCUAACUACGUGCCAGCAGCCGCGGUAAUAC
rnacentral:rRNA from 1 species